GAGAGAGCACCGGGCAGCUUCUCUCGCCUCUCUCCUUCCCCCUUGUCUCUCACUGGCCUCUGGGUCGCUUCCAAAAGGUUGCUUCCUUCGAGUUUUCCCUGUGAAGCUUCACCUUGGCGUGGUCCACAUGGAAGGCAGAAUCAACCCCACUCACAGGCCUCCACCAAGGCUGCUGCGGGUCUAUCAGCUUGUUCCCCGGGAGUUCAGGAGCCUCCUCAGACCUUCCCGAGGGUCCUCCAGCGAGUCCUCAGUCUCAGCUCUCACAGGUAUGAAGGGGAUCACAGGCUUUUACCUUUUUAAGCUUAUGAAGAAGGCAGCUCCUUUUCUUUACGUCAAGAAGUAGCACGUCUUCUUAAAAGCCAACCAAUGACUUUGUGCGAGAUCCCGUCUGGACAGACAGUUCUGUAAAGAACCCACACAAAAGUCGGUUCUUUUGUAUCCAUUCCUGAUCUCCUGGUAAUGAAAACAGGUUUGGGCAAGAUCUCCCUCACAGGAUCUUACUAAUUCAGAAGCCCCUGGACUCAUGCCUUCAUCAUCUUCCAUACAGAUAUUAACUUUCAAAAUCCCUAAGCUGUAGCUUAUUCUGAGUCCCAUAGCCCAUUGCAUAUACUUUAGCAAUCAUAGGGGGCAAUAAAAAUGCUUUUGGUGUGAACCUAGCUUAGUGUGUUUGAAGCACCAUAUGAUGCAGGCGAGGUCCCUAAAAUAGAUGAGCGCAGACUCGUAUGCUUUCAGAGGGACCGUCCCUGUGGCUUGCUCUGUCGUUGGUAGAUAAAUGCAAUUUAACCUGCUUGAGCAUUUUUGACGUCCAGUUGAAGGGGCUUGGACUGUACAUAGCCUCGGAGCCUGGAACUUCCCCUGGGCUGGGAAUAUGGAAAACACAGCAGCUCCGUCAGAUCGUUUAACUUGUCUUGGGAUCCUGCUCUCAAUAUUGGUAGUCGUCUAACGUGACAUAUCUGCAAUUAAAGGGUGAUGUCAGUUGACACGAUGCCACAGAGGCCAGUUAAACACUGUUCCUUAGAACAUAAGAGCAGGAGUCAAUCCCGAAAACAUUGGUAGUGGUCCAGAGACUGAGUCACUUGGCCGUCUCAGAGCGUCUACGCUAGCUGGAGCAUGUCAGGAAGCCCAGGUUCCCUUCACACCGUGGAAGCAGGAACGCAAGAUGCAGGGAGAUGUACUUUGAAAAGAACGCCCUGCUCUGGGGGACCUGCUCUUUCUUUCCCUCACGACUCAGGUCUCAUCUUCUUUGUGGAUCUUAACCCCGGUACUGCAGCUCUCCGGCUGUGCUGGGCGGGAAAAAGAAAUACUGCACGUCCGCAUUAUUUCUUUACUCAGCGUGCUUUUAGGUGCUUGGCUUUUUUUUUUUUUUUUUUUUUUUUUUUUUUUCUUCUCCUCCUCUGCUUGUUGCAAAAGAGCUGGGAAUUGAAAGAUUAACCUAAUUUAAUUUCAGGGCACCUCCCAUUUUGAUGGAAAUACUUAGAAUAUACUAUAGACUUGUAAAAAGCAUGCCCAAAGUAUACUCAAAUGACUCUGUACUCAUGUUUGCACAAUCGAAACUUCCCACUAAUAGAGAAAUUUCCAGCAUGGAAGAGAGAGACUGUGGCUGCUGCUCUAGAAGGGAAGCAAGGUUAUGUUUCUGCGUUAGUUCCCUAUGGCUGCAGCAGCGAAUAAUCAUCCAUGUGGUGGCUUCAAACAAUACAGGUUUAUCUUACAAUUCUGGAAGUCAGAAAUUUGACGUGGGUCUCCCUGGGCUGAAGUUACUGUAUAAGCAGGGUUGUGUUCCUGUGGGAGCUCCAGGGGAGAAUCUGUUUCCUUGCCAUUUUUAGCUUCUAGAGGCCACCUGCAUUCUUUGGUUUGUGGUCCUUCCUGCAUCCUCAAAGCCAGCAGUGGUGGGUAUAGCCCUUCUUGCAUCACAUCCGUCUAAUUCUUCUGCAAGUAACUUCUUCUACUUGUAAAGACAUUGUGAUUGCACCGAGCCCACCCAGAUCAUCUAAGAUAAUCUAUUUUAAGGUCAACUGAUUAGCAACCUUAAUUCCAUCUUUAUUCUGUCUACCACAAUUUCUAUAGGGUUUUUUCUUUUUCCCUGUAAACUUUACCAAGUAAAUUCCAAACGCAAAUGAGUCCUCUCCCAUCUGUUUUUUCUACUCAAGAAAAACAACUGAAAUUGAUUUCAUGAAACAAUUACAUAAGUGAAUGUGAAGGUAUAAAUUUAUCGUUGGAGGACAAAGGUGGUUUCUUUUUAAAUACAUGUUGGUUAAGAGCCAAAGACUCUUAACUAAAAAUCUGCGGAAAGUACCGCUAUAAACAGAUGACUAUUAAACUUAAAUCGUCAUCAGGUUAAGUUAACUUCGAUGUAACUUAAAUAUUUAUUAGGAGUGAAAGCAAACCUAAAUGUUGAAAAACUCAGAUCCUUAUUUCUCAGCUGUCUCCUCAUUUUUCCAUAAUGUAUUUCUGGCUGUUCAGGGGUAAUUUCCUAGAUUUUAUUAACCUGUAAGGGAAGGGGUUUACACCUAAAUCCAUUCCAGAGAACACCUCAUUUGUAACUCUGGGUUGCAGCUUCCAGAGCCAAAGGGGUUAAGGAAAAUGAGCAUGAACUUAGAAAACCUCCUUGCUUGGGAGCUGAAGUAAGGGAGAUAAAGAAAUGCAAGUGACCUGAUCCAUUAGCCAUACAUAGGCUUCCCUUGGUAAGAUAAUUUGAAAUAAAUGGAAUUUGCCCAUUCAAAAAAUAUGUGCAUUUAAUGCUGAGCACAGUUUUAGGUACUGAAGAUACAGCCAUGUAAAAGGGCAGGCAGAAUGUCUUCCCUCAUGAAGUUUCCUUUCCUACAGGGAGAGCCACAUAAAAAUGUAGACAUAUUAAAUGAUUUUAGAGGAUGUGCAAUAGGAUACAGACACAUCAGCACACACGCAUCACAAAAUAGGCGGCAUGAACUGAAUAAUUAAGGAGACUUCCAUUAAGGACCAGUGACGUAGGUGGGGACAGGUUCAAGGUGAACCAAGGAAACUGGUGCUCUGCCCCACGCCCUUCCUGCCCCUGACUGCCUGUGAGAACAGAAGGUCUGGUGGCAAAAUCACCUGUGGCCUGAGGUCCUAGGAGCCCCCUGUAGUCCAUGACGACUGGCCUCCCUGAGCACAGAAGAGGGUGGACUGGACCCAGAGCGGCAAACCCAAACAUUCCAGCACCUGCUUUUGUGCACAGACGCUUUGCGUUGAAAGGUGUGGGUGUGAUUGGUUGUGGGACAGGCGUUGGGAUCGAUUUAAGAGUUCAAGGAGGAUCUCUCUGAGGGGGGACAUUUGAGCUGUGACCACACAAGACAAAGAAGCCACUGAUGCCUGGAGCAGGGGCACGUGGUUCUUGGCAGGAAGACCCAGGUGCAGGUGCAAAGGACCUGAAGGAGGAAGCAGCUUGGUGUGGUGGGCAGAGGCAUGCGCAUGUGGGUGGAACAGAGUGGGGCAGGGGGCAGAGGGUGGGAGAUGGAGCCAGAGACUCGGGUGACGACCUCAGCGAAAGCCCUGGGUUUCUCCAGAAGAAGACUCUGACAUGGGGGUUGAGUACACACAGCUGGUUGGAAGAUGACCCCAGGAGGCCUGCGAAGGGGUGUGGGAGAGUGAGAAGGGAAGGGAAGGAUUCCAAUAAAGGCAGUGACCUUGACCUGACCUCCGGUGGGCAGGUGGAUUCCGUCCCUCGCCUGCCCCGGGACACCCCAUAUCUCACAGGGCUUCCUCUGCAGUGGAGGAAGUGGGCUGUUUGUUUACCAGUUCCCAUCCAUGGUUCCUCGUGGCCACUCCCAGGGCGUCAUCACUGGCUUCCACUGGAGGAGUUGGUGACAGGAGAUGAGAUGCCCUGGGCAGAUGUGCUUGGGAAGGGUGGGCGCCUGGGCUCCUGUGUCUGCGGACAGUCUGAACGGCACUGCACUCAGUCUCUAAGUAUGACGGGAAGCCAUCAGAGGUGAUAAAUUAUUUGCGUUUUCUCUCUGACUGGGCUGAGCUGUUAGAGAAUAAGGAUACCAAUGGGUUC
rnacentral:lncRNA from 1 species